CAGUCGAACGCCGUAGCAAUACGGAGUGGCAGACGGGUGAGUAACACGUGGGAACGUGCCCUUUGGUUCGGAACAACACAGGGAAACUUGUGCUAAUACCGGAUAAGCCCUUACGGGGAAAGAUUUAUCGCCAAAGGAUCGGCCCGCGUCUGAUUAGCUAGUUGGUGGGGUAACGGCCCACCAAGGCUACGAUCAGUAGCUGGUCUGAGAGGAUGAUCAGCCACACUGGGACUGAGACACGGCCCAGACUCCUACGGGAGGCAGCAGUUAGGAAUCUUGGACAAUGGGCGCAAGCCUGAUCCAGCCAUGCCGCGUGAGUGAUGAAGGCCUUAGGGUUGUAAAGCUCUUUCAGCGGGGAAGAUAAUGACGGUACCCGCAGAAGAAGCCCCGGCUAACUUCGUGCCAGCAGCCGCG
rnacentral:rRNA from 1 species